ensembl:snRNA U2 U2 spliceosomal RNA
AUUGCUUCUCAGCCUUUUGGCUAAGAUCAAGUGCAGUAUCUAUUAAAAUUUAAUUAACUUACUCAAAAAAAUUGAAAAUUU